rnacentral:tRNA from 2 species
GCGGGUGUCGUACAGUGGCAGUACGGGAGUCUCCAAAACUUCUAACGGGGGUUCGAUUCCCUCCACCCGUG